AAUGGCAUUCGCUUGAAGGUUGGAGCUCGAAGAACAUAAGGUUUGCGUCGGCACAAGUUAAGUUGAAGAACUGAUGAUUAGUUAGAAGCUGACACUUGAAAAGUUAUGUUCACUAUCUCAAUAUCUAUUUCUAAGGUUAGUAGCUCUACCUAAUCUCUAAAUAAUUUCAUGAUAGGGUUAGUAGCUAAUCUUUAAUUUUAUUAGGUUGCAUGAUGGAGUCAAUCCAAAAGUCAUGUUGGGUUUUUUUAAUAUUUUUGUUUGAAUAACUUCUUUUGUUUGAUGUUUGAACUGAAUUGUUUGUAAUAGUGUGAUUAUUGUUAAUUAGAAAUAGAAAAUUUAUAAACUCUAAUUUGUUAAAAUGUUAUGUGCUUGAAGGUUGGAGCUCGAAGAACAUAAGGUUUGCGUCGGCACAAGUUAAGUUGAAAAUCUUAUAAUCAGUUAGAAGCUGAUACUUAAAAGGUUAGGUUCUUUAUUCUUUAGCUAAAUAUAACUUUUUAAUUUUCUUAUUUUGUUUACUAUUUUAAUUUUUAUUUAAAAGGUUAGUACCUCUACCUCGUCUUUAAAUAAUUCCAUGAUAGGAUUAGUAGCUAAUUUUUUAUUUUAUUAAGUUACAUGGUGGUGUUCCUUCAAAAGUCAUGUUGGGUUAUUUUACUUCUUUUGUUUGCUAAUUAGAAAUAGAAAAUUUAUAAACUCUAAUUACUUUGUUGGGUUAUUUUAGUUUUUUUGUCUGAAUUACUUUUUUUGUUUGAUGUUUGAAAUGCAUUGUUUCUAAUAUUGUCUGAUGAUUGUUUAAUUAGAAAUAUAAAUUUUAUUAAACUCUAAUUUAUUAAAAAUGGUAUGUGCUUGAAGAUUGGAGCUCGAAGAACAUAAGAUUUGCCUCGGCACAUGUUAAGUUGAAGAACUGAUCAUCAGUUAGAAGCCGAUACUUGAAAAGCUAAGUUGUCUAUUCUUGAGCUAAAUUUAACUUUUUUUUAUUUUCUAAUUUUGUUAACUUUCUCAAUUUCUAUUUCUAUGUUAGUACUUCAACCUCAUCUCUACCAAACAUUACUU
rnacentral:lncRNA from 1 species